AGAACAGAAGGCAGUUGAACUGCUCAGGACCAACGCAGGACUCAUGAACAACUUGGAUCAUCCAGGAAACGACACAAAGUAUUAAGAUCGAAGGUUUUAGCAACAGAACAGAAGACGGACAAAAGCGCGAAGAACGAAAUACAUUGAGGAGGAGAAGAUGAGGAUAGGAAACUGCCUGGUGUGUUCCUGGUCGUGUGGUGCAGAGGUUUGGGGUGGAUUUGAGGAUGGCGUGCUGGACUGGCUCUGCUGGGUGAAGUUCGUGGUCCACGAGGAGGAGAUGGACACAAAUUGGAGCUGAACCGCA